UACGUAGGGGGCAAGCGUUGUCCGGAAUCAUUGGGCGUAAAGCGCGUGUAGGCGGCCCGGUAAGUCCGCUGUGAAAGUCGGGGGCUCAACCCUCGAAUGCCGGUGGAUACUGUCGGGCUAGAGUGCGGGAGAGGCGAGUGGAAUUCCUGGUGUAGCGGUGAAAUGCGCAGAUAUCAGGAGGAACACCGAUGGCGAAGGCAGGUCUCUGGGCCACUACUGACGCUGAGAAGCGAAAGCAUGGGGAGCGAACAGG
rnacentral:rRNA from 1 species